rnacentral:rRNA from 1 species
UACGGGGGGGGCAAGCGUUGUUCGGAAUUACUGGGCGUAAAGGGCUCGUAGGCGGCCAACUAAGUCGGAUGUGAAAUCCCCAGGCUCAACUUGGGAACUGCAUCCGAUACUGGAUGGCUUGAAUUCGGGAGAGGGAUGCAGAAUUCCAGGUGUAGCGGUGAAAUGCGUAGAUAUCUGGAGGAAUACCGGUGGCGAAGGCGGCAUCCUGGACCGAUACUGACGCUGAGGUGCGAAAGCGUGGGGAGCAAACAGG